rnacentral:rRNA from 1 species
UGGGGAAUAUUGCACAAUGGGCGCAAGCCUGAUGCAGCGACGCCGCGUGAGGGAUGGAGGCCUUCGGGUUGUAAACCUCUUUCGCCAGUGAAGCAGGCCAUCUUCUUUGUGGGGUGGUUGACGGUAGCUGGAUAAGAAGCGCCGGCUAACUACGUGCCAGCAGCCGCGGUAAUACGUAGGGCGCGAGCGUUGUCCGGAAUUAUUGGGCGUAAAGAGCUCGUAGGCGGCUGGUCGCGUCUGUCGUGAAAUCCCCUGGCUUAACUGGGGGCUUGCGGUGGGUACGGGCCGGCUUGAGUGCGGUAGGGGAGACUGGAAUUCCUGGUGUAGCGGUGGAAUGCGCAGAUAUCAGGAGGAACACCGGUGGCGAAGGCGGGUCUCUGGGCCGUUACUGACGCUGAGGAGCGAAAGCGUGGGGAGCGUACAGG